GGUGAAGGUCAGCGGAUAUGUCGGUGCAGGUGAAACCCCAUCUACCCAUCGGGACCCAGCUGGAAGCUUCCGCUGCCGGUUUAAACCAUGACAUACCCCUGUGUGAAAUGGAGGGGUUCCUCUUUUGCUCCUGUUUUAAAUAUUUCCUAACGUCCCCACUGUGGAGAGAGCAGGACCGCGAGGCCCUCCUGGACCGAAAGGACUCCCUGGACCACCUGGCAAAGACGGCAUCGAUUGGAUCAAACUGUUUCAAGAAAACUGGAUAUUUCAGAUACUAUCAGGCAGAUUACAUUCGUUCAUGCUGUUUGUGCCUAACUCCGUGAUCUACUCAGCCCUUUAGGCAGACUUGCAAAAUUCUGCUUCUCCCAGGGAGCUAAUUUGGUUUCGGAUGAAAAGGCCGAAAAGCUAUACUUGUUCUCCUCAAGGUAAAGGGUGAACAAGGAGGUUUUGUGUCUACGACUGUAUAUGUGUAUACGCAUUUUGCAAGACUGAACUUAAAUAAAACCCUCUCUGUUCUGCA
rnacentral:lncRNA from 1 species